UACGGAAGGCAGCAGUGGGGAAUAUUGCACAAUGGGCGAAAGCCUGAUGCAGCUAUGCCGCGUGUAUGAAGAAGGCCUUAGGGUUGUAAAGUACUUUCAUCGGGGAGGAAAAAACAAAACUAAUAAUUUUAUUUCUUGACGUUACCCGAAAAAGAAGCACCGGCUAACUCCGUGCCAGCAGCCGCGGUAAUACGGAGGGUGCUAGCGUUAAUCAGAAUUACUGGGCGUAAAGAGCACGUAGGUGGUUUUUUUAAAGUCAGAUGUGAAAUCCCUGGGCUUAACCUAGGAACUGCAUUUUGAAACUGAAAUACUAGAGUAUCGUAGAGGGAGGUAGAAUUCUAGGUGUAGCGGUGAAAUGCGUAGAUAUCUGGAGGAAUACCUGUGGCGAAAGCGGCCUCCUAAACGAAUACUGACACUGAGGUGCGAAAGCGGUGGGGAGCAAACGAGGAUUAGACUACC
rnacentral:rRNA from 1 species